rnacentral:rRNA from 1 species
CCUACGGGAGGCAGCAGUGAGGAAUAUUGGUCAAUGGCCGUAAGGCUGAACCAGCCAAGUAGCGUGAGGGAAGACUGCCCUAUGGGUUGUAAACCUCUUUUAUGCGGGGAUAAAGGUGUCCACGUGUGGAUGUUUGCAGGUACCGCAUGAAUAAGGACCGGCUAAUUCCGUGCCAGCAGCCGCGGUAAUACGGAAGGUCCGGGCGUUAUCCGGAUUUAUUGGGUUUAAAGGGAGCGUAGGCCGGUCUUUAAGCGGCCCGGGAAAUUUUGUGGCUCAACCAUGAGAGUGCGGCGCGAACUGGAGACCUUGAGUGCGCGGAAGGCAGGCGGAAUUCGUGGUGUAGCGGUGAAAUGCUUAGAUAUCACGAAGAACCCCGAUUGCGAAGGCAGCCUGCCGCAGCGUUACUGACGCUGAAGCUCGAAAGCGCGGGUAUCGAACAGGAUUAGAUACCCCUGUAGUC